UUUGUGGUAGCCGCGCUGUGUGAAGCUGUCAGUGUCAACGAACAAGCCAGGAGUCCUCGGACAAGUGGACUCCCUCUGAGGGAGCGGCUGAUACGACUUGCUAAACAUUGUUAGUCAGAUGUUAUUGUACUGUCCCCUCAUCAUGCCUCCAUCUGUGCCUGGACUGGAAGGCCUCACAGGCCUCACUGGCCCCAUUCAGCAGUUGGCCAUGCACUUUCUGGGCCAAAGUGGCAUUUCACAGCCUCAACAAGGUGACAGCAUUACCUUUACAGAUGAGCUCAGGCAGCUGUGGCCACACCAGGUUCUGUUGAAGAACUGCUUGGUGUUUUUUUUUGUAGGAUCUGUAGCAAUUAUAAAUAUUGUCAUAUUGUCAUCUUAGAUCCCGACCAUAUUGAGGGCAAUAUCGAAAAGAAAAAAAGAUUACUUGUUACUCCUUUUUUUGACAAACACAUAACAAACAUUUGAUAAGGGACACCAAAAAUAAAUGUGUAAGAGCUUUCUGGUUCCUAAAUUACCUCAAACAUUUGUUAUUUCUGCACUGAAAUUUCUUUUUUGUCAUUUUGGCUGGCAUAUAGGCUACACCAAUAUAUAUAUAUAUAUUAAAUUAAAAAAGGCCAAUAUUAGCCACUAUGGUGUAGUGGUCAGGCUCUAAAUCAUACUAAUAAAAAGACCAGAUAUUCUGUAUUGUGUCUGUUCUUUAUAGCAUAUUUUUGUAAUAUGUCUUGUGUUAUGUGGUCUCUUCUGUUUCUGUAAAACCAGAUAAAGAUUGUUACUCCUUUUUUUGACAAACACAUAACAAACAUUUGAUAAGGGACACCAAAAAUAAAUGUGUAAGAGCUUUCUGGUUUCUAAAUUACCUCAAACAUUUGUUAUUUCUGCACUGAAAUUUCUUUUUUGUCAUUUUGGCUGGCAUAUAGGCUACACCAAUAUAUAUAUAUAUAUUAAAUUAAAAAAGGCCAAUAUUAGCCACUAUGGUGUAGUGGUCAGGCUCUAAAUCAUACUAAUAAAAAGACCAGAUAUUCUGUAUUGUGUCUGUUCUUUAUAGCAUAUUUUUGUAAUAUGUCUUGUGUUAUGUGUUCUCUUCUGUU